rnacentral:lncRNA from 1 species
UCCGAUCUGCACGAUGGAAUCAAAUGCUGAAUAACAGAAUAUUGGUGCCGGAUUAUUAUUUGUCUCAAUGAUGCCAGGAUCGAGAGACAAAGUGUCCCUCAUGUGGAUAAACACUGCAUUCAUGCAUUGAUCAUAAUAACUUGUGUUUUAUUUUGCAGGUAUCUGUUACUAACGUGCUUGAUUGUUACAGGAAUCAUUGCUCGUGCUCGCAGAACUGUACCUUUG